GUCCACGCCGUAACGAUGAAUACUAGGUGUCGGAAGCACAGCUUUCGGUGCCGCCGCAAACGCAUUAAGUAUUCCACCUGGGAGUACGUUCGCAAGAAUGAACUCAAAGGAAUUGACGGGCCCGCACAAGCAGUGGAUUAUGUGGUUAAUUCGACGCAACGCGAAGAACCUUACCAGGAUUUGACAUCCCACUAACGAAGUAGAGAUACAUUAGGUACCCUUCGGGAAGUGGAGACAGGUGGUGCAUGGUUGUCGU
rnacentral:rRNA from 1 species